GCCAUUUCAUUCUUUACAAAAUGGUGUUGAACCUUCGUCUCCUGCAUUGGCAGACAGAUUCUUUACCAGCUGAGCCACUGGGGAAGCCCCAAGGAGCUUAUCCUGGUGUAUUCAGAUAGGGCUUAAAUGCAAUCACUGGUAUCCCUUUAAGAGCAAGGUAGAGGGAGUUUUGAGAGACACACAGGGAAGGUGACAUGAAGAUGAAGCAGGGAGAAAUGUGGCCACCAGCUGAGGAACGCUGACAGCCCCCAGAAGCUGAAAAGCAAGGAAUGGACUCCCCACUAGAGACUUGGGAAAGAGGGCAGCCUGCUGACACCUUGACCUCAAACUUUUGGUCUCCAGAACUGUUUUACACUGCCGAUCUGAAAUGAAAUUGCAGCCUUCCAUAAUGAGCAAGUGAGGCUCAGAGGCAGAAUGGAUGGAGCUUCACCAAUACCUGUCACCUGCAGUCACAGACCCUUUGAAACAGGACAAAUGGCAGAGCAUUAUAUUGCUGAGGCAUCUAUAGUAGAAUGUGAGUACCUUUGACCAAGAGCCUAGCUCCUAUGCCUGUCAUCCAUCACUGAGAUCCACCAAGACCAUGCUUUCUGCUGCUCCCUGGGACAAUUCUCAGUGACUACUUGUGUGAGGGACACCAUGGUAGCCCCAUUCCUGAGAGACACAUGGCUCCUCUGACAGUUGACUUCGUGGGAGGACUCCUAGGUGACCUGGACAAAUCUCCGAGACCUAACAGCAAUUAGGUGAUGACAAUCCAAUCUUCCUUUCUUCUUCCUUUUUCACUUGAUGGGAUUUGCAUUAUGGUCUGAGGGCUCUCCCAGCCUUCCCAGUCUUCCUUUCCAUUUUCUCUCAAAAGCAUUUCCCCUAAGAAACUCUUUCCACGUUGGAACUGACCUAGACAUCUUCUCAGAGAACUCAGUCAAAAAUAACAUUCACACUGUUGCAUAUAAUUGAAAUGUAUUGUUUUGACUAUUCAAUUAUGAGUAUAAUAUCCAGUGAUGAGUGUAGAUAAAUACAUUGUCAUAUAUUCAUGACUGCAUGUACCCAUUGUUUCUAGAUUUUACCGUUAUGAAGAAGAUUGCUAUUAACAUCCCUGUAUAUGUUCAAUAAUUUGCCUUGGAUAUUUAUCCAGAAAUGAAAUGAUUGGAUCAUAGAGUAGAUGUGAGACUAACAUUUAAGGUAAUGUUGAAUUACUCUGUAAAGAGUUUGCAUACAUUUACAGUCCUAUCAGCAAACUACAGAAGAUCUUGUGGAUUCAUAUCCUCCAAUACUUAGUACAGUUGGGAUUCUUAAUUUUUGCCAAUUAAAUGUGUAUAAAACAUAUCCCUUUGUGAACUUUAUUAGCAAAUCCCUCAGGCUGAACAUCUUUUUGUUUAUUUCCUCUUCUGUGUACUGCCUAUUUAUGUCUUUGCCAUUUUUUUGCAGAGGGUGGGGAGGGGGAGAAUGUUUAUUCUUUUUCAACUGAAUUGUAGAAAUUCCUUAUAUGCUCCUGAUAUUAAUUAAUGUCUCAUUACAUACAUUGAAAACUUCUCUUCCCAAUCCAUUUCUAGGUUGCCUUUCAUGUUCUUUAAGGUGUCUGUUGAUGAACAGAAGUUCUUAAUUUUAAUAUAAAAUGAUAUUAUUUUAAAAUUGUAUGAUUAGCAUUUUGGUUAAAAAUUUCUCCCUAUCUCAAGAUUAGAAAGAUAUUCACCUAUAUUUUUUCCUACAUUGUGAAUGCCUGAUUAUAAUACUUCAAAUGCUAAGUUACCACCUCCAUGUUACAUGUACACUCACACAGACCUGACAAUAUUUAUAUGAAAGAAUUUUUAAUUUACAAAGAUUAAAUAAAAACCAAGAAUUAUAAACAA